AACAGUUUCUCCUCCCUUAGUGUUCAUACCUCAACUUCUAGAAGAGGGCCUCAUCCUCCCUGAUCAAACUAACCUCGUUAUCUCUAG